GGUAGACUGCCCGCUAGAAAACCGGAACUCAAUAUCACCACGUAGCAUCAGGUUUCAUGCAGUGAAAAUAAAUUCGUACCUUGGAGAUCUGGCAACAACUGAAACACCUAAAACGUUCUGGCUCAAAGCUUCUCGCUUCUUCAUUGGCGGUUUCAUGACGUUCGUGCUGGAAAAAAACAAAACAACUCAAACUGGAUACUACUUGGGUAAUGUUGUUUUUUAAAUACUAGCUAAAGUUUGUGUUGGAAUGGGGAAUAACAAUUUUCAAGUUUACCUUCUCCUUGCUCAUUGUCUGCUGGAUUUGCCCGAGUUUGCACACACUACGUUAUCCGAAACCUGUUGUAGCUUGCGCAGUCUGCCCAACUGGCCUUUUAAUUAGUAGCUUUCGACCCACCGAUCACCUCCUGGCACUUUCACAAACGUAGUUUUCCCUCACGACUACAGUUUUUGUUCGAUUAAUUGUUUAUGCGAAAAAACUCGCUACUACGUCCACGUACUCACGUUGUAAGGUAUAACCAAUAAGCUUUGAGUUAUUAUUUUCAUCUAAUCCUUUUUUCGUCUACUGGGACGUUUUUGUGCGAACACUUAAAAAAAAAAUGUAAAACGCAUUGAUUCAGUUCUUGCAAAAUGGAGUCGAUGAACGCAAAAAAAAAAUUUGAAUUUCAUUUUGGCAGUCCAACAACCUCUUUAUUCGCGAUGUUGACACCAGCGACUGCGAACUGGGAUCCCUUUAGAUUUAGGGUGCGACCUUUACCACUCAGCAGAUGGCGUUCAACACCCGGUGCAACCGGUUGCAAUGGUCCAGUUCCAGUUUCAUUAUCCAUGAAUUUCCAUUAUUUCCAUGUAUUGAAAGUCUAGCCAUUUGUACCAGUGAUCCACAGGUAUGGCUUGUUGCAGACUUUCAAUUCGCGCAGUUCAGUUUGAUAUUUCCUUGGAAGCGGUACACCUAAACUCGGUUUCAGCACCAUGGAUCCAGCAUGGGUUACUUUGACUUUGCUCGUGGUACUGUACACUCGCCCUGAUUUUUACCAUGUGGGAUUCUGUUUCAUCCGAAAAAUCAUCAAACAAAUUCAGUGACCUCCUCAAUUCCGUUUUUUUUAUCGUUGAUGUUUGCCACUCAUGGAAUUACAUCUGAAUUGAUGGCAUUAGUCAACAACAACACAGUUGCAAUUUACCCGUCUUGUGUGCCAUCUUUUGUUUGCCAAUGGCUCGUUGAUCCCUCUGGUCGGGAACACUGACUUCAUUUCAAAUUUAAUAACCUUACAUAACUUAGACAAAACUGUUUGAGAAAACGGGAGAAUAAAUUUUCCUUUAGUUGUCACACAAA